GAUGACGGCCUUCGGGUUGUAAACCUCUUUCGACAGGGACGAAGCGAAAGUGACGGUACCUGUAGAAGAAGCACCGGCUAACUACGUGCCAGCAGCCGCGGUAAUACGUAGGGUGCGAGCGUUGUCCGGAAUUAUUGGGCGUAAAGAGCUCGUAGGCGGUUUGUCGCGUCGACUGUGAAAACUGGGGGCUUAACUCUCAGCUUGCAGUCGAUACGGGCAGACUUGAGUUCGGUAGGGGAGACUGGAAUUCCUGGUGUAGCGGUGAAAUGCGCAGAUAUCAGGAGGAACACCGGUGGCGAAGGCGGGUCUCUGGGCCGAUACUGACGCUGAGGAGCGAAAGCGUGGGGAGCGAACAGGAUUAGAUACCCUGGUAGUCCACGCUGUAAACGUUGGGCGCUAGGUGUGGGGGACAUUCACGUCUUCCGUGCCGUAGCUAACGCAUUAAGCGCCCCGCCUGGGGAGUACGGCUGCAAGGCUA
rnacentral:rRNA from 1 species